CCACCCCUCUGUAAAUGACUCUUGAGUAGUGCUUGUGCUGUAGUGUAUAGUUUCCCAGCAGUUAAAGGUUGUCCCUUGAAAGUGCCUUUUGUUCACAGACUCCAUUUUGUAAUCCAGAUCACCCUUGGAGAUGGCUGGAGGUCUGCAGGUUGGCCCCUGAGUGCAUUCAGGGGGGCUCCAUGAGGCCCCCUGUGAGUGGACUCUGGGGCCACUUUUUUCUCCUCGACCUUCGAAAAGAUGAAAAAAAAAUAACCCUCCAUUGUACCUCCCCUUCUUCUUCCUUUUCAAAGCCGUAUAUAUAUAGUACAAAAGGAAUCUGGUGUGAAUUAGUUCUUUACUUUUUAUUGAUAAAUGAUAAGAAAAAAAAUGAAAAGGCAAAAAAAUGUGUUCUCGUUCCGCUCUUCGCUUUAUUUUAUUUUUUCCUACCCUGUCUCCUCUGUUUCUCUCUUAGACACUGGAGUAGUCUGUAAAUGUGUGUCUGUUGCUCUGUCUCUCUCUCUCUCUCUCUCUCUCUCUCUCUCUCUCUCUCUCUCUCUCUCUCUCUCUCUCUCUCUCUCUCUCUCUCUCUCUCUCUCUCUCUAGCUCUCUCUCUCUCUAGCUCUCUCUAUCCCUCUCCCACCCUCUCCAUUAUCGGAAGGGUUUGAAAAAAAAAAUAAUUGCAGAAAAAAAAAGUACUUUUGUCUGAGCAGAAUGCAGUUAGCUCACAUGUUAUUCUUGUCUGUACGCUUCUCAUUGUAUUACCAUACCCAUCUCUAGCUUCUCCAUUCAACCGCUAAUGUAAGUGAACAAAUUAUGCUGAUGGGCUCUUGGGGAUGGAAUAAUGGGGGGCCGUGAUUAGUCGGAACGGGGCUGCUCUGACACGAUGAGUGUUUAGGCUUUUGUUAAAUUCUUUUUGAUCUAUUUAUAUUAGGGGUAUUAUUUUUUUUUUUUUUUUGUUUUACCAACCCCUAGUCAUUUCAAUUGGGAUUUCCUGUAAUGUUUCUAUCAGGGUAUGCUGUUUAGUGCUUUCUCUGAGAAAGCCUUGAACUGUAAAGCUACAAGCACCUUACUACCGGACCCCCCGUGAGGCUGAGGGGCUCAGCAAGCAUCUCCAGCAUAGUAAUACAUCUGAUCCUAUCGUUGUGUUGUUGUUUUAGCGAUGGAUUUUAUAUGAUAGAACCAUCAGCAGUAUUAACCAUUCACCAACUCUACAAUACAAACCAAUUACAAAGACAAGUAAAUAAAGAGGGCCUGAUUCCUGGGGACAGCUCUCCGACCCUCAGAGCUUCCAGAGAAGCGUCCUUUCAGCCUCACGCCGGGCCUCUGGCUCUCUCUUCUGUUAUUGCUAUUUUAUUGUUUUGUUUUUAAGUAUAAGUUUGGUUAGGGGUAUAAUUAGAUGCAGCACCCUUGCCCUUUGACUUCCCCGUUGCUCUCUAGUGCCCCUGUCUUUGCCCACCAUGCAAAGCCCAACCCCCCGGCCCCUCCCACCCUGUCUCUUCUGGGACCACACCCCCCCUCCCAGGGGCCCUAAGUGAAAUGCAUGUGUUAUAUUAAAGUUUCUUUCCCAUAAGAAGAAAAACAGUUUGACAAGGACAGAGCCUGAUUUAAUUAAAGGAUGUUCUUAACUGUACCCCU
ensembl:lncRNA